UGCUUUGAUUCUUACAGUAAAAUCUUGGUGUUUCUGCUUAAUCGUCUUCAAGAUAUUCUAUAACUAACUAAGCAGAUAACUUUCCUUCUUGAGUUUGCAAGAUCUAAAUAUCCAAGUGAUGUAAACAAUGCAAAAACCUUCCUUCUCCUUAUCAUUCCUUUCAAUAACUAUCAAAAUAUUAGGUUAAGAGCUGGUCUCACUUUUUGAUAAAAAUUGUGUGAAAAGAUAAGGGGAAUAGUGUUAAUUUUCUCCUAGCAAAAUGAUAAAGGUACCAUGGUCGUCCAAUUUGCACUAUGUCUGCUUGAACAAAUGGAGUGUAGCAACUGCUACACUAACAAUUCAGAUUGUAUGAAUGUCAUAGAGGAGACAUAAGUUAAUUAAUGCAAAUCUGGUAAGGUAGAAGAAAGCUGCUUAACUCACUUUUGGUCCAGAAUAUGUUGAAUUAACGAAAGACCCUUACAGGUCCCAUGUAGACUAACACUGCCAACCCUGUUUGCAAUGUAUUAUAUCUUGUUGCGUUUCGCACACUAUGAUUUGGAUCAUAAGUAAUUUUAUUAGACAUGAUCACUGGCAUGAAGAGGGUUUAAAUGUCAGUGGUAGUUUAUAGAAAAUAAUUCCACCCCACAAAAUAACUAAAUGAAUGAGAAAAAGUAUAGAGUUUGCAUUGCGUACUCAUGUGAUCGACAAUACAUUGUAUGUUUUUAAUUAGUUUUGUGCGUUUCAUUUUUGUUUUUUUAUUUAAACGCCUUACCUCAAUUGAUCUCCAGUAAAUGACAUAUGCUCAUCCUUGGUUUUGUUUUAUGUAAAUCCUACACUCACUUAAUUCCCUUCUUAGACACAUAUACCUAAGUGUAAAUCCAAUCUCUUCUAAGUUAAAUUCUGGUUCACUAUGGAACAUGUCAUCUUUGUACAUUACUCCAAAAACAUAUAAGAACUACCUCAACAAUGUGUACAGAUCUAAGACGCUGAUUUUUUUUUUUUACCUAAACAUGUUAACUCUUUAAAUGGUAGAUGAGUGUAAAAAAUAGCUUACUGUUAGCACUCGGACGAUGAGACACAAUUGUACCAUAACAGAAUGUAGUUGGAGUAACUCUUGCAUGUUUAAAAAGGCACGUAUAAUACGGGCAAAGCGCAAUGUACCUAUUGCCGUAUGCAUGUCAAAUAUGGUAAAGAUGCAACAUUUAUGCGAUACUGAAAAUGAUGCACUAAUUUGUCAAUGCUCACUGCUGUCACAUAUGAUGAACUGUUGUAUUAUAUUUUGAUUGUCAAUAUUUUAUUAUCGUUAUUAUUGUUAUUAUUAUUUUUUAUAUAGUAAUAUAAAGCAAAGCGCUAGUAUGGAGAACCGAUAAAUUCCCCCGAGAUAUUGUUCUGCGUUAUUGCCCUGAAAACACAUUCCAGCGUUCCUGAGAAAUAUUUUUAGCAUCGAUGGCGACGUUGGCGUCUAUUAGCGUUUUGUAUAGUCAACAAUAAAUUUGUACUAAAGACAUAAAGUUCACCGUUACCAUCUGUCAUUUUGUAUCAUGUUUUUUAAUGCACCCCAUUGCUUGUGUCAGUUUUCGUCAG
rnacentral:lncRNA from 1 species